GGCAGCAUGGUGUAGUGGUUUGAGCCAUUGGACUAUGACUCUAGAGACCAGGAUUCGAAUUCCAGCUCAACCA